rnacentral:rRNA from 1 species
GUGCCGAGUUCGGCUCGGCCGCUCUCCACCCUUUGUGACGUACCUCUGUUGCUUUGGCGGCUCCGGCCGCCAAAGGACCUCCAAACUCCAGUCAGUAAACGCAGACGUCUGAUAAACAAGUUAAUAAACUAAAACUUUCAACAACGGAUCUCUUGGUUCUGGCAUCGAUGAAGAACGCAGCAGACGCAGCACGCCACGGU